rnacentral:rRNA from 1 species
GACGAACGCUGGCGGCGUGCUUAACACAUGCAAGUCGAACGGAAAGGCCCAGCUUGCUGGGUACUCGAGUGGCGAACGGGUGAGUAACACGUGGGUGAUCUGCCCUGCACUCUGGGAUAAGCCUGGGAAACUGGGUCUAAUUCCGGAUAUGACCAACUGUCGCAUGGUGGUUGGUGGAAAGCUUUUGCGGUGUGGGAUAGGCCCGCGGCCUAUCAGCUUGUUGGUGGGGUAAUGGCCUACCAAGGCGACGACGGGUAGCCGACCUGAGAGGGUGAUCGGCCACACUGGGACUGAGACACGGCCCAGACUCCUACGGGAGGCAGCAGUGGGGAAUAUUGCACAAUGGGCGCAAGCCUGAUGCAGCGACGCCGCGUGAGGGAUGACGGCCUUCGGGUUGUAAACCUCUUUCACCAGGGACGAAGCGUGAGUGACGGUACCUGGAGAAGAAGCACCGGCCAACUACGUG